GAUCAAGCGAAUAAGUGCAUGUGGUGGAUGCCUUGGCGAUUACAGGCGAAGAAGGACGUGCAAGCCUGCGAAAAGCUCUGGGGAGCUGGCAAUGAAGCUUUGAUCCAGAGAUAUCCGAAUGGGGAAACCCACUCCGCAAGGAGUAUCCCAUCCUGAAUACAUAGGGGUGAGGAAGCGAACCCGGUGAACUGAAACAUCUAAGUAGCCGGAGGAAAAGAAAUCAACCGAGAUUCCCAAAGUAGUGGCGAGCGAAAUGGGAGCAGCCGGCAAGUGAUAAUGACUGCGUUAGCGGAAGCUUCUGGAAAGUAGCGCCGUAGUGGGUGAAAGCCCCGUACGCGAAAACCCGGUCAUGGUACUAAGCUUGCGACAAGUAGGGCGGGGCACGAGAAACCUUGUCUGAACAUGGGGGGACCAUCCUCCAAGGCUAAAUACUCGUAAUCGACCGAUAGUGAACCAGUACCGUGAGGGAAAGGCGAAAAGAACCCCGGGAGGGGAGUGAAAUAGAUCCUGAAACCGCAUGCAUACAAACAGUGGGAGCGGACUUGUUCCGUGACUGCGUACCUUUUGUAUAAUGGGUCAGCGACUUACGUUCAGUAGCGAGCUUAACCGCAUAGGGGAGGCGUAGGGAAACCGAGUCUGAUAAGGGCGAUUAGUUGCUGGGCGUAGACCCGAAACCAAGUGAUCUAUACAUGGCCAGGAUGAAGGUGCGGUAACACGCACUGGAGGUCCGAACCCACUAAUGUUGAAAAAUUAGGGGAUGAGCUGUGGAUAGGGGUGAAAGGCUAAACAAACUUGGAAAUAGCUGGUUCUCUCCGAAAACUAUUUAGGUAGUGCCUCACGUAUCACCUUCGGGGGUAGAGCACUGUUAUGGCUAGGGGGUCAUCGCGACUUACCAAACCAUUGCAAACUCCGAAUACCGAAGAGUGCGAGCGUGGGAGACAGACAUCGGGUGCUAACGUCCGGUGUCGAGAGGGAAACAACCCAGACCGCCGAUUAAGGUCCCCAAGACAUAGUUAAGUGGGAAACGAGGUGGGAAGGCUCAGACAGCCAGGGAGGUUGGCUUAGAAGCAGCCAUCCUUUAAAGAAAGCGUAAUACUGGUCGAGUCGUCCUGCGCGGAAGAUGUAACGGGGCUCAAACUAUGCACCGAAAUCGCGGGUUUAGAGACUAGAAACAAGAAACUAGAAACAAGAGGAAACCGAUGCCAUACCGACGUUUGGAUGUGUAUCAGAAGUCGUACCAGUUGGCCUUGGAGGUUCAUAAGUUGUCGCUUGGCUUUCCGAAGCUCGAGCAAUAUGGAACUGGCGAGCCAAUUGCGGCGUUCGAGCAAGUCGAUCCCAGGCAAUAUUGCCGAGGGGAUGGGCAAGCAGGACACGGCGGCUGAUGUCCGGCGUUAUAUCAAGAUUGCCGUAGGGUCAUGCGACGAGACGCGAGUCUGGUUGCAGUUUGCCAAAGACCUUGGCUAUCUUGAUGAAAAAGCCAACGAGGAAUUUGAGCAGCGCUACCAGGAAAUUGGUCGCAUGCUGCAGGGAUUGAUCCGACGCUACGACGGCAAAGUGAAGUAGGUUUAAUCUUGUUUCUGGUUUCUAGUUUCUAGUCUCUAGACGGUAGGAGAGCGUUCUGUAGGCCGUUGAAGGUGUCUGGUAACGGAUGCUGGAGGUAUCAGAAGUGCGAAUGCUGACAUGAGUAGCGAUAAAGGGCGUGAAAAGCGCCCUCGCCGAAAGCCCAAGGUUUCCUGCGCAACGUUCAUCGGCGCAGGGUGAGUCGGCCCCUAAGGCGAGGCAGAAAUGCGUAGUCGAUGGGAAACAGGUUAAUAGUCCUGUACCUCUUUGUAAUGCGAUGGGGAGACGGAGAAGGUUAGGUCAGCCGGGUGUUGGACGUCCCGGUUCAAGCGUGUAGGGAGAUUCUCCAGGCAAAUCCGGAGGGUCAAUCCUGAGGCGUGAUAACGAGUGGUCUUGUACCGUGC
rnacentral:rRNA from 1 species